rnacentral:rRNA from 1 species
GACGAACGCUGGCGGCGUGCUUAACACAUGCAAGUCGAACGGGAUUUAGUAGACAGAAGCCUCGGCUAAAGAUUACUAAUGAGAGUGGCGAACGGGUGAGUAACGCCUGAGCAACCUGCCUAUUACAGUGGGAUAGCCUCGGGAAACCGGGAUUAAUACCGCAUAAAAUCGUAGAAACACAUGUUUUAACGGUCAAAGAUUUAUCGGUCAUAGAUGGGCUCGCGUCUGAUUAGCUAGUUGGUGAGAUAACAGCCCACCAAGGCGACGAUCAGUAGCCGGUCUGAGAGGAUGAACGGCCACAAUGGAACUGAGACACGGUCCAAACUCCUACGGGAGGCAGCAGUGGGGAAUAUUGCACAAUGGGGGAAACCCUGAUGAAGCGACGCCGCGUGAACGAAGAAGGUAUUCGUAUCGUAAAGUUCUGUCCUAUGGGAAGAUAAUGACAGUACCAGAGAAGAAAGCUCCGGCUAAAUACGUG